UACAGAGGGUGCGAGCGUUGUCCGGAAUCACUGGGCGUAAAGGGCGCGUAGGUGGCGCCGCAAGUCCAUGGUGAAAGCUCGAUGCUCAACAUCGAGUCGGCCACGGAGACUGCGGGGCUCGAGCACUGUAGGGGCAGAUGGAAUUCCGGGUGUAGCGGUGGAAUGUGUAGAUAUCAGGAAGAACAUCGGUGGCGAAGGCGGCUUGCUGGGCCAUCACUGACGCUGAGACACGAAAGCGUGGGGAGCAAACGGG
rnacentral:rRNA from 1 species